rnacentral:rRNA from 1 species
CUGGUUGAUCCUGCCAGUAGUCAUAUGCUUGUCUCAAAGGUUAAGCCAUGCAUGUCUAAGUUUAACGAUGUUAAAAGAAGACUGUAAAUAGCUCAUUAAAACAGUUAUAAUCUAUUUGGUGACUGCUAACCACAUGGAUAACCGUGGUAAUUCUAGAGCUAAUACGCGAGUAAAGCACGUUUUCUCUAAGUUUUCGUGCAUGUUUAUUAGAUUUAAACCAAUCUGCAUUGCAGAAAAUGGUGAUUCAUAGUAAACGAUUGAAUCGCAUGACGCAAGUCGGUGAUACACCAUUCGAGUUUCUGACCUAUCAGCUUCAGACGGUACGGUAUUGGCCUACCGUGGCAGUGACGGGUAACGGGGAAUUAGGGUUUGAUUCCGGAGAGGGAGCCUGAGAGACGGCUACCACAUCUAAGGAAGGCAGCAGGCGCGUAAAUUACCCAAUUCUAACGCAGAGAGUAGUGACAAGAAAUAACAAUACAAUGCGCUAAGCGUUUUGUAAUUGGAAUGAGAAUGGAGUAAAAUUGUAUUCGAUUAUCAAUUGGAGGGCAAGUCUGGUGCCAGCAGCCGCGGUAAUUCCAGCUCCAAUAGCGUAUAUUAAAGUUGUUGCAGUUAAAAAGCUCGUAGCUGAAUUUGUAUUGUGAGUUAGAUCGCAUCUUAAUUGAUGUGGUGUUUAAUCUCACAAUAUUUUUUUAUCAGGUGUUGUUUUGAGGAACGCGUCAUGAUGAACUUUUACUUUGAGUAAACUAGAGUGUUUCAAGCAGGUUAAUGCUUUGAAUACUGCAGCAUGGAAUGAUCAUUAAAGCUUCUGCUUUAUAUUAUUGGUUAAAAUGCAGAGGAUGUGAUUAAUAGGAACAGCUGGGGACAUUCGUAUUCAUCAGUCAGAGGUGAAAUUCUUAGAUUUGAUGAAGACGAACUACUGCGAAAGCAUUUGUCAAAGAUGUUUUCAUUAGUCAAGAACGAAAGUUAGGGGAUCGAAGGCGAUCAGAUACCGCCGUAGUCUUAACCAUAAACGAUGCCGACUCGAGAUUGGAGGUUGUUCUGAAAGACACCUUCGGAACCUUAUGAGAAAUCAAAGUGUUUGGGUUCUGGGGGGAGUAUGGCCGCAAGACUGAAACUUAAAGGAAUUGACGGAAGGGCACCACCAGGAGUGGAGCCUGCGGCUUAAUUUGACUCAACACGGGAAAACUCACCAGGUCCGGACAUAGGAAGGAUUGACAGAUUGAUAGCUCUUUCUUGAUUCUAUGGGUGGUGGUGCAUGGCCGUUCUUAGUUGGUGGAGUGAUUUGUCUGCUUAAUUGCGAUAACGAACGAGACCUCUGCUUGCUAAAUAGUAGAUGUUAGAUUACUGACAUUGUACUUCUUAGAAGGACUUUGCAUGUCUAAUGCAAGGAAGUUGGAGGCAAUAACAGGUCUGUGAUGCCCUUAGAUGUUCUGGGCUGCACGCGCGCUACACUGAUACGUUCAACGAGUGUCACUUAAGCUGGAAAGCUCCAAGUAAUCUUCUGAAAGCGUAUCGUGAUGGGGAUAAAUGAUUGUAAUUAUUCAUUUCGAACGAGGAAUUCCUAGUAAGCAUGAGUCAUCAGCUUGUGCUGAUUACGUCCCUGCCCUUUGUACACACCGCCCGUCGCUCCUACCGAUUGGGUGUUCCGGUGAAUUCAUUGAAUUCUGCUAUCAUUCAUUUUGAUUUUUAGCGGGAGGAGAUUUGUGAACCUUAACAUUUAGAGGAAGGAGAAGUCGUAACAAGGCAUCUGUAGAUGAAUCUGCAGAUGGAUCAAUC